rnacentral:rRNA from 1 species
CAUAGCCCUUGUAAAAAUCAAAGGUGUAACCUGCCCAAUGGUUAUUAAGUAAAUAAAAAUAAAAUUUUAUAAUAAAACUUAAAGGACGCAGUAACCUGACUGUGAUAAUGUAGCAUAAUCAUUCGCCAUUUAAUUGAUGGAUAGUAUGAAUGGUUAAACGAAUUCUUCACUGUCUUAAAAAAAGAAAUCAUGAAAUUAAAAUAAUAGUCAAGAUGCUAUUUACUAUUGUAAGACGAAAAGACCCUAUAGAGCUUAACUAUAAACUCCUUAAACAUAUAGAAUUAAAAAAGUUCCUAAAUUAGGGAGUUAGGUAGUUUAGUUGGGGCGACUAUCUUCUAAAAACAACGAAGACAAGCAAUAUUAAUAAUUAAUUUAUUGUAUAAUAAAUAUAUUUAACAAUUACAAAAGUAGGCUAUAAUGACCCGUUAUAAUCUUAUAAUUGAUUUAACGAUUAAUAAAUAAAAGCUACCUUAGGGAUAACAGGAUAAUUUUGUUUUAGAGAUCCUAUCGAAAACAAAGUUUGUCACCUCUAUGUUGAAUUAAGAUAUCCUGAUAGUGCAGAAGCUAUCAAAGGUAGGUCUGUUCGACCUUUAAAAUCUUACAUGAUUU